rnacentral:rRNA from 1 species
CAGCCGCCGCGGUAAUACGUAGGGUGCGAGCGUUAAUCGGAAUUACUGGGCGUAAAGCGUGCGCAGGCGGUUCGUUAAGACAGAUGUGAAAUCCCCGGGCUUAACCUGGGAACUGCAUUUGUGACUGGCGAGCUAGAGUAUGGCAGAGGGGGGUAGAAUUCCACGUGUAGCAGUGAAAUGCGUAGAGAUGUGGAAGAAUACCGAUGGCGAAGGCAGCCCCCAGGGCCAAUACUGACGCUCAUGCACGAAAGCGUGGGGAGCAAACAGGAUUAGAUACCCCCGUAGUCCCUGUCUCUUAUAC